UCCAAUGGCCACGGCCGCCCGAGGGGUGGCGGCCAGAUAGGGACUCAGGGAAAAGUGUGCGGAGGCGGUCGCCGCGCAAGGCGGGGGUCUGUCCCCGGCCGCGCUGCGUGCCGCGGCGGGGCGGGAAAUGUCAGGCCGUCCCCGCCUGGUGCGGGGUCGUGGGGCCCGGGAGGGCGCGGAGCGCGGGAGGCGAUGGCGUCGGCGGCGUCGAAGCUGCGGGCGGAGGCCGGGCUCGGGGCGCUCCCGCAGCGGGCGCUCGCCCAGUACCUGCGCCUUCUGCGGCUCUACCCUGUGCUCACCAAGGCGGCCACCAGUGGCAUUUUGUCAGCACUUGGGAACUUCCUGGCCCAGAUGAUGGCGAAGCAGCGGAAAAAAGAAAACUCCCGAAAGCUAGAUGUCAGUGGGCCUCUCAGAUACGCCAUUUAUGGGUUCUUCUUCACAGGGCCACUGAGUCACUUCUUCUACCUCUUCAUGGAGCACUGGAUCCCUUCUGAGGUCCCCUGGGCUGGGGUCAAGAGGCUCCUCCUGGACCGCCUCCUCUUUGCACCGGCCUUCCUGUUGUUGUUCCUCCUCGUCAUGAACUUCCUGGAGGGGAGAGACGCAGCUGCUCUCUCUGUCCAGAUAAGAAGAAGCUUCUGGCCGGCGCUGCGCAUGAACUGGCGAGUCUGGACCCCAGUGCAGUUCAUCAACAUCAACUACGUCCCUCUGCAGGGGUACAGUGAUUAACAAGACAGACCAGACCGCUACUUUCAUGGAGCUUAUAUGCCAGGGAGACUCCCUGACUAAAGGCAUUUCAGUUCCGGGUGCUUGUUGCCAACCUGGUGUCUCUGUUCUGGUACAUCUACCUGGCCUCUCUGGGCAAGUGAAGAUGGCCCGGAGUGAACACACCCAGCUGUGUAGGGACACCCGCCUAGGGUGAGAGAGCAGAAACCACCUGGUCAAGACUGUAGCUGACUCCAGAUCACGUGGUUCAAGAUGGCGAAACAAUCUGUUAAUGUAAGAAUUUCGUGUUUUAAAGAGGUAGAAACUGUCUUCGGGUGAUGCUGCCUCAGAGUCGUAAAAUGCAGUAGCAAUGAUUGCACUUGUCACCCUGAAUUGAGUUAGGACAACAAUAAACUAUAAUGUAGCCUUU